rnacentral:rRNA from 1 species
AACGAACGCUGGCGGCAGGCCUAACACAUGCAAGUCGAACGCUCUCGCAAGAGAGAGUGGCGCACGGGUGCGUAACGCGUGGGAAUCUACCCCUGACUACGGAACAACCCAGGGAAACUUGGGCUAAUACCGUAUAAUGUCUCCGGACCAAAGAUUUAUCGGUCAGGGAUGAGCCCGCGUCAGAUUAGCUAGUUGGUGAGGUAAUGGCUCACCAAGGCGACGAUCUGUAGCUGGUCUGAGAGGAUGAUCAGCCACACUGGAACUGAGACACGGUCCAGACUCCUACGGGAGGCAGCAGUGAGGAAUAUUGGACAAUGGGGGCAACCCUGAUCCAGCCAUGCCGCGUGAGUGAUGAAGGCCUUCGGGUUGUAAAACUCUUUUAGAUGUGACGAUGAUGACGGUAACAUCAGAAAAAGCUCCGGCUAACUUCGUGCCAGCAGCCGCGGUAAUACGAAGGGAGCGAGCGUUGUUCGGAAUCACUGGGCUUAAAGCGUGCGUAGGUGGAUUGGUAAGUAAGGAGUGAAAUCCCAGGGCUUAACCCUGGAACUGCUCUUUAGACUGCCUGUCUGGAAUUCGGAAGAGGUUGGUGGAACUCCCAGUGUAGAGGUGAAAUUCGCAGAUAUUGGGAAGAACACCGGUGGCGAAGGCGACCAACUGGUCCGACAUUGACACUGAGGCACGAAAGCGUGGGUAGCAAACAGGAUUAGAUACCCUGGUAGUCCACGCCGUAAACCAUGUUUGCUAGCUGUCGGAGUCCUUAGGGCUUCGGCGGCGGAGAGAAAUCAUUAAGCAAACCGCCUGGGGAGUACGGCCGCAAGGUUAAAACUCAAAGGAAUUGACGGGGACCCGCACAAGCGGUGGAGCAUGUUGUUCAAUUCGAAGCAACGCGAAGAACCUUACCUACCCUUGACAUGUCCAGUAUGGGGCCGAGAGAUUGGCUCCUUCAGUUCGGCUGGCUGGAACACAGGUGCUGCAUGGCUGUCGUCAGCUCGUGUCGUGAGAUGUUGGGUUAAGUCCCGCAACGAGCGCAACCCUCAUCGUCUGUUGCCAUCAGGUUAAGCUGGGCACUCUGACGAGACUGCCGGUGACAAGCCGGAGGAAGGCGGGGAUGACGUCAAGUCAUCAUGGCCCUUACGGGUAGGGCCACAAACGUGCUACAAUGGCGGUGACAGUGGGCCGCGAGGCAGUGAUGCCAAGCCAAUCCCAAAAAGCCGUCUCAGUUCAGAUUGUACUCUGCAACUCGAGUGCAUGAAGCUGGAAUCGCUAGUAAUCGUGGAUCAGCACGCCACGGUGAAUACGUUCCCGGGUCUUGUACACACCGCCCGUCACGUCAUGGAAGUUGGUUCUACCUGAAGACAGUGAGCUAACCGCAAGGAGGCAGCUGGCCACGGUAGGGUCGAUGACUGGGACG